rnacentral:rRNA from 1 species
UACGUAGGGGGCUAGCGUUGUCCGGAAUCAUUGGGCGUAAAGAGCGCGUAGGCGGCCAGAUAAGUCCGGUGUGAAAGUCAAAGGCUCAACCUUUGAAUGCCGCUGGAAACUGUCUGGCUAGAGUCCGGGAGGGGCGAGUGGAAUUCCUGGUGUAGCGGUGAAAUGCGCAGAUAUCAGGAGGAACACCGAUGGCGAAGGCAGCUCGCUGGGCAGAUAACUGACGCUGAGGAGCGAAAGCGUGGGGAGCGAACAGG